GCCAAGGAUGUUUUCAUUAAUCAAGAACGAAAGUUAGGGGAUCGAAGACGAUCAGAUACCGUCGUAGUCUUAACCAUAAACGAUGCCGACCAGCGAUUAGGAGACGUUGAAUACAAAACACCACCAUCGGUGCGGUCGUCCUUGGCGUCGGUCUUUCGGGGCCGGCGCGGGGACGGCUUAGCCCGGUGGCACCGGUGAAUGACUCCCCUAGCAGCUUGUGAGAA
rnacentral:rRNA from 2 species